CUGGCUCAGAACGAACGCUGGCGGCAGGCCUCAUACAUGCAAGUCGAGCGGUCCUUCGGGACAGCGGCGAACGGGUUAGUAACGCGUGGGAACGUGCCCUUUAGUACGGAAUAGCCAUUGGAAACGAUGAUUAAUACCGUAUACGCCCCAAGGGGGAAAGAUUUAUCGCUAAAGGAUCGGCCCGCGUUAGAUUAGGUAGUUGGUAGGGUAAUGGCCUACCAAGCCUACGAUCUAUAGCUGGUUUGAGAGGAUGAUCAGCAACACUGGGACUGAGACACGGCCCAGACUCCUACGGGAGGCAGCAGUGGGGAAUCUUGGACAAUGGGCGCAAGCCUGAUCCAGCCAUGCCGCGUGAGUGAUGAAGGCCCUAGGGUCGUAAAGCUCUUUCGCCUGUGAUGAUAAUGACGGUAGCAGGUAAAGAAACCCCGGCUAACUCCGUGCCAGCGGCCGCGGUAAUACGGAGGGGGUUAGCGUUGUUCGGAAUUACUGGGCGUAAAGCGCGCGUAGGCGGAUUAAUAAGUCAGGGGUGAAAUCCCGAGGCUCAACCUCGGAACUGCCUUUGAUACUGUUAAUCUUGAGUUCGAGAGAGGUGAGUGGAAUUCCGAGUGUAGAGGUGAAAUUCGUAGAUAUUCGGAGGAACACCAGUGGCGAAGGCGGCUCACUGGGCCACUAUCGACGCUGAGGAGCGAAAGCUAGGGGAGCAAACAGGAUUAGAUACCCUGGUAGUCCUAGCUGUCAACGAUGGAUACUAGAUGUAGGAAUUGGAUUGACGAUUUCUGUAUCGUAGCUAACGCGUUAAGUAUCCCGCCUGGGGAGUACGGCCGCAAGGCUAAAACUCAAAUGAAUUGACGGGGACCCGCACAAGCGGUGGAUCAUGUGGUUUAAUUCGAAGAUACGCGAAGAACCUUACCGGCCCUUGACAUACCAAUCGCGGACUUAAGAGAUUAAGUUCUUCACUUCGGGUGGAUUGGAUACAGGUGCUGCAUGGCUGUCGUCAGCUCGUGUCGUGAGAUGUUGGGUUAAGUCCCGCAACGAGCGCAACCCUCACUUUUAGUUGCCACCAUUUAGUUGGGCACUCUGAAAGAACUGCCAGUGAUAAGCUGGAGGAAGGUGGGGAUGACGUCAAGUCCUCAUGGCCCUUACGUGUUGGGCUACACACGUGCUACAAUGGCAUUGACAAUAGGAAGCAAGACGGCGACGUCAAGCAAAUCCUAAAAAGAUGCCUCAGUUCGGAUUGUACUCUGCAACUCGAGUACAUGAAGCUGGAAUUACUAGUAAUCGCGGAUCAGCGUGCCGCGGUGAAUGCGUUCCCGGGUCUUGUACACACCGCCCGUCACACCAUGGGAGUUGGUUCUACCUUAAGGCAAAGGUUAAAAUCUUUGACCACGGUAUAGUCAGCGACUGGGGUGAAGUCGUAACAAGGUAGCCGUA
rnacentral:rRNA from 1 species